AGAGCGAACGCUGGCGGCAGGCCUAACACAUGCAAGUCGAGCGCGUGUAGCAAUACACGAGCGGCAGACGGGAGAGUAACACGUGGGAACGCGCCCUUCGGUUCGGAAUAACUCAGGGAAACUUGAGCUAAUACCGGAUACGCCCUUACGGGGAAAGAUUUAUUGCCGAAGGAACGGCCCGCGUCCGAUUAGCUAGUUGGUGAGGUAACAGCUCACCAAGGCGACGAUCGGUAGCUGGUCUGAGAGGAUGACCAGCCUCACUGGGACUGAGACACGGCCCAGACUCCUACGGGAGGCAGCAGUGGGGAAUAUUGGACAAUGGGCGCAAGCCUGAUCCAGCCAUGCCGCGUGGAUGAUGAAGGCCUUAGGGUUGUAAAGUCCUUUAACGGGGAAGAUAAUGACGGUACCCGUAGAAUAAGCCCCGGCUAACUUCGUGCCAGCAGCCGC
rnacentral:rRNA from 1 species